AGCGAACGCUGGCGGCAGGCCUAACACAUGCAAGUCGAACGAACCUUUCGGGGUUAGUGGCGGACGGGUGAGUAACACGUGGGAACGUGCCUUUAGGUUCGGAAUAACUCAGGGAAACUUGUGCUAAUACCGAAUGUGCCCUUCGGGGGAAAGAUUAAUCGCCUUUAGAGCGGCCCGCGUCUGAUUAGCUAGUUGGUUGAGGUAAUGGCUCACCAAGGCGACGAUCAGUAGCUGGUCUGAGAGGAUGAUCAGCCACAUUGGGACUGAGACACGGCCCAAAAUCCUACGGGAGGCAGCAGUGGGGAAUCUUGCGCAAUGGGCGAAAGCCUGACGCAGCCAUGCCGCGUGAAUGAUGAAGGUCUUAGGAUUGUAAAAUUCUUUCAACGGGGACGAUAAUGACGGUACCCGGAGAAGAAGCCCCGGCUAACUUCGUG
rnacentral:rRNA from 1 species